rnacentral:rRNA from 1 species
CGGACGGGUGAGUAACACGUGGAUAACCUACCUAUAAGACUGGGAUAACUUCGGGAAACCGGAGCUAAUACCGGAUAAUAUAUUGAACCGCAUGGUUCAAUGGUGAAAGACGGUUUUGCUGUCACUUAUAGAUGGAUCCGCGCCGCAUUAGCUAGUUGGUAAGGUAACGGCUUACCAAGGCAACGAUGCGUAGCCGACCUGAGAGGGUGAUCGGCCACACUGGAACUGAGACACGGCCCAGACUCCUACGGGAGGCAGCAGAC